AAUUAAUAUAGCUUUACACUAUUCAUAUCUAACGUUUUAUUGUGCGUCUUAUUUGAAAUUUUUUUAUGAUUAAUAUUUUUAUUGUCAUUGGAUGAUAAAUUAUGAAUAAUACUUUAUGUAUGAUUUUUUUUUAAUUUUUCAUAAAUUUUUUAAAUAAGAUAGAUGGUCAAACGUUGGACACGAAUAUUCACAACUGUGCUUAUU
rnacentral:pre_miRNA from 1 species